rfam:Sporanaerobacter sp. PP17-6a isolate PP176A genome assembly, contig: PP17-6a_contig21
GCAUUGCGAUGAAGCAAAAGGUUGCUGUUUACAGGGAAUUUUUGCUGAGAAUGUCCGGUUAAGAAUCGGGCGACUG